rnacentral:lncRNA from 1 species
GCUUUUUAACCAAUAGAAGCUUCUAGACUGGUUUCAAAGAAAGCCAAACUACUGAAGCUAUUUUAUUUAAUGUGUUCCAAAAAUAUACAAUCAGGAAAAAAUGUGUAAUUGGUCAUAUUUUUAUGGAAUGUAUUAAGAGAAUAGUAUGAUGAUAUCAACCUAUAAUAAUCAUUAUCUAGUUUUUGAAGCUUCAUCAUCAUGUUAAAUCCCAUAAACAAUUGAUUCUCAACUAAUGAGGGGUACAUGUACAAGUCAUGGCCUUAACAGCAGUAGCACGGAGGUGUUAGUACCAUUUCUCCCACAUCAUAAUCUAAGAAAGGCAUCCUCCAUUUCCAUAGUUAUUCCUGGGUCUGUCCCUUCAGCUUACCCAGUGAGUCAGGCCCUCUGCAGAUGUUUCAUCCAGAAGUGACUCGAGGGCAGGGCUCAUCUCUCCUUGGAGCUAUAAUUUUCUUCUUGCAGAUGGCACACUUGGUUUCCUGAAACAUCUUGACAUCUCACACCAUCCUGUUCUUAAGUGAGGAGCAGUGGACUUUAAAAUCCAUGUCCAUUGAUAUUCACUUUCUGACAAAAGACAAGGCAAGGACCCACCAGCACUCCAGGUCUCACUUCAUGAUGAUGUCAUCCUCAUUGAGGGCUCACAACCUGACCAACUACUGGUUUCACUUCAGUUUUGACAUUUCCCAGAGCUAAAGAGCUAAGUCCCAAUCACAAGAAUCCAACUGGUUCAUCUUCAGGAUCACCGCAGAAGUCAGAUCCAACUUACCACACAUUCCUCCAUUUAAAAUAUCCUGUCUUUGGAAAGUCAGGCCUCUGCGCCAAAGCUAAGCCAUCGUAUCCCCUGUGACCUACACGUACACAUCCAGAUGGUCAGUUCCUGCCUUAACUGAUGACAUUCCACCACAAAAGAAGUGAAAAUGGGCUGUUCCUGCCUUAACUGAUGACAUUCCACCACAAAAGAAGUGAAAAUGGGCUGUUCCUGCCUUAAUUGAUGAUAUUACCUUGUGAAAUUCCUUUUCCUGGCUCAUCCUGGUUCAGAAGCUCCCCCACUGAGCACCUUGUGACCCCCACCCCUGCCCGCCAGAGAACAAC